rnacentral:lncRNA from 1 species
CAGGUACAUACAUAGGCAUUUACAUAAUAAUACAAGUGAAAUAAUUAAUAGGAUCCAGAAACAAGCUCUUAGCUUAUAUUAAUCCGUUUCCUAAUAAGAACAUUUCAUAUUUUAAUACUCAAAGGGUAAAAUGUUAUAAAAAAUAACAAUGUUACACUAGAUGGAAAGAAGAAAAAAACAUAUAAUUAGGUUUGUGACACACAAGAAAGAAGAAAAAAAUAUAUACAUCGGAAUAAUAAAGUGUAUGUUUCUGAACGGACACAAUUAUAGAUAUAAGUAUUACUUGUUGAACAAGAUGUGUGCUAUCAUAUGACAAAUCUUUUACUACUGAGUAUAAAUGUUUGAACUGCCAAGAAUAUUUCAAUGUUUUGUUCGUAGCUGAAGUCCAUUGAACCGUGUAGCAAGAUUUCUUCCGACAAAAAAUGUAUUAUAUUGAUAUUAUAAAAAUGCUGUUCACGCAUAAUGUGAAAACGGGGGCAGUGCAACAAGUAGUGCGCUGUAGUUUCUAUAGCACCAC